GUGCCAGAAGUUUCGGUUAUGCAGCUAGGGCGAGUAGUUUACAUUAAAGGUUUAAAGGAUUAGUAGACGGAUCAUUAAAUUAAUAAUAAUAUUAUUAUUAAUUUAAAUUUAAAAGAUCUAGAAUAAGAUAAUAUAUUUAAUGAAAAAUAAAAGUAAAAGUUAAAUUUAAGAAUAUUUAUUAGACAACCAAUAAAUGAAGAUAUUAAAUAAGAAUCUUAUUGACGUUGAGAUAAUGAAGCCUAAAUUAUCAAGUUGGACUUGUUAACCAAUUAGUUUUAGGAGUAAACGAUGUAUAUUACGAAGAAAUUAUAAUUUCUUUGAACAAUAAUUUAAAAUAUACCACCUGAAAAGUAUAAUCCAGAGUUGAAAUUUAAAACAAUAGGCCGUUUAGUUUAUUAACAGUGGAUCAUGUUAUUUAAU
rnacentral:rRNA from 1 species